AGAGAGAAAGGAGAAGAAGCAGAAGAGUCAAAAAGUCUCCUUCUCCCUCGCUUCUUCUUUCUUAGUGUGGUGAGAGCAAAGAGAGACUCUUUUUUUUUGGUUUUUGGGUUCUCUCU
rnacentral:sRNA from 1 species